rnacentral:rRNA from 1 species
UACGAAGGUGGCGAGCGUUGUUCGGAUUUACUGGGCAUAAAGGGCGCGUAGGCGGUUCCGCAAGCAGCGUGUGAAAUCCCGUGGCUCAACCACGGAACUGCGCGCUGGACUGCGGUUCUUGAGGACCGGAGGGGGGUAUGGAACUCUCGGUGUAGCGGUGAAAUGCGUAGAUAUCGAGAGGAACACCGGUGGCGGAAGCGGUACCCUGGCCGGUUUCUGACGCUGAGGCGCGAAAGCGUGGGUAGCAAACAGGAUUAGAUACCCUGGUAGUCCACGCCGUAAACGAUGAGGACUAGGUAGCCGUCGGAACCGACCGGGGGCUGCUGAAGGAAAUCCAUUAAGUCCUCCGCCUGGGGAGUAUGGUCGCAAGGCUGAA